rnacentral:rRNA from 1 species
CGGGUGAGUAACACGUACUUUACCUGCCCAGAAGCGGGGGACAACAUUUGGAAACAGAUGCUAAUACCGCAUAACAGCGUUGUUCGCAUGAACAACGCUUAAAAGAUGGCUUCUCGCUAUCACUUCUGGAUGGACCUGCGGUGCAUUAGCUUGUUGGUGGGGUAACGGCCUACCAAGGCGAUGAUGCAUAGCCGAGUUGAGAGACUGAUCGGCCACAAUGGGACUGAGACACGGCCCAUACUCCUACGGGAGGCAGCAGUAGGGAAUCUUCCACAAUGGGCGCAAGCCUGAUGGAGCAACACCGCGUGAGUGAAGAAGGUUUUCGGCUCGUAAAGCUCUGUUGUUAAAGAAGAACACGUAUGAGAGUAACUGUUCAUACGUUGACGGUAUUUAACCAGAAAGUCACGGCUAACUACGUGCCAGCAGCCGCGGUAAUACGUAGGUGGCAAGCGUUAUCCGGAUUUAUUGGGCGUAAAGAGAGUGCAGGCGGUUUUCUAAGUCUGAUGUGAAAGCCUUCGGCUUAACCGGAGAAGUGCAUCGGAAACUGGAUAACUUGAGUGCAGAAGAGGGUAGUGGAACUCCAUGUGUAGCGGUGGAAUGCGUAGAUAUAUGGAAGAACACCAGUGGCGAAGGCGGCUACCUGGUCUGCAACUGACGCUGAGACUCGAAAGCAUGGGUAGCGAACAGGAUUAGAUACCCUGGUAGUCCAUGCCGUAAACGAUGAGUGCUAGGUGUUGGAGGGUUUCCGCCCUUCAGUGCCGGAGCUAACGCAUUAAGCACU